rnacentral:rRNA from 1 species
AUUGAACGCUGGCGGCAUGCCUUACACAUGCAAGUCGAACGGCAGCACGGGUGGUUGCACCUGGUGGCGUGUGGCGAACGGGUGAGUAUUACAUCUGGACAAGUCCUGUAUUGGGGGGGAGCCAGUCGAAAGCAGGAGUGAUACCGCAUACGAACAUUGGAAGAAAGCGGGGGACCAUCGGAACGCGGGCCAUAGGGUUGGCCGAUGGUGGAUUAGCUAGUUGGUGGGGUAAAGGCCUACCAAGGCGACGAUCAGUAGCUGGUCUGAGAGGACGACCAGCCACACUGGGACUGAGACACGGCCCAGACUCCUACGGGAGGCAGCAGUGGGGAAUUUUGGACAAUGGGCGAAAGCCUGAUCCAGCAAUGCCGCGUGUGUGAAGAAGGCCUUCGGGUUGUAAAGCACUUUUGUCCGGAAAGAAAUCCUUGGCCCUAAUACGGUCGGGGGAUGACGGUACCGGAAGAAUAAGCACCGGCUAACUACGUG